CAAGAAAAGGUCAGGAUAGCUCAGUUGGUAGAGCAGAGGACUGAAAAUCC
rnacentral:tRNA from 1 species